CACAGACAUACCUGAAGAUAAAUAUCAAACAAACGUUCGCCGAGGCUGUAAAGAGUCUUGUCAUCCGUAAAGAUGAUCUCAGCGAAGUGGAGGUGUACAGUGUAGUUACCAUUUCCAAGGCAGAGUCCAUAGUAAGUUAGCGAUGACGGAGAGACUCUAGCUGUCCUGUAAAGUCCAAAGCUGAGACAGGAAGCAUUAGCAGAUAAUCUAGAUGUGUUCUGUACAAUGUAAUCAUCGGCAUCAUCAUCAUUGUCCAUGAAGUUCCCAGUGCUGCUAUACGCCCAGUGAUUGACACUGAAGAACAUAGAAGGACCUUUGGAGUUUUGGUCAGCUUCAUAUGUUGUUCCUUUAUCCACUUUAAGUUCUCCUCCUCCACAGUUUAUGUACAAAUUAUACUUAUCUACAAAUUUAAAAAAAAAAAAUCAAAUUUUAAUCAAGAACAUUAGACCUGAUCCGCAUUUACUUCAAGUGUUAAAAACUUUGCUUACGAUCUCUCUUAGGAAGUCGACAAGGGAUGUGAUGAAGGUAACAUGAUGAUUCCUUGCGUCUGAAACAUCAAACAAAGAGAAUGUUUUCUUUCAGUUCACUAAAUAUAUGAUUAAAAAUGCACUACAGAGAGAGAGAGACGGUUUCUUACGAUUUAUUCCCCGUGGAGAAGCUUUCCACCCAAUUACUAGGAAAUGAAGCAAAGCAUUUGUUAUUUCUGCUAACGAAUGAGCAAAGUAUUCUGAAUAUAGGAGUACACUUACGAGGUAACAUCGCUGCAUUUACUCCCGGUAAUUGUACUUGCAUCGGUGAAGUUGUUGUAAGAAACAUCACUGCACAUAUCAAGAAGAACAAAUACAGUUUUUAAAACCUGUGCUAAGUGGUGAAACUGAGAUUUAGCAGAGGGAUAACGUACACGUUUUUGUUUUUAUUAACGAAGUAGCUUGGAAUAGCUCCUGUCAGCUUGUUUCCUGUCAAAUAACUGAAAGAGAAGAUUUAGAAAAGCUUUCGUGAUUAGGAAGAAUAUUAAAAGCUAUUUUUCUUCUUUUUUUUCCUUAGUGAACUGACGCACGCACUUACAUGAAAUCGGCUUUCUUCAUAUUUUCAAACGUUGAAGGAAUCUCACCAGUUAGCUGGUUGAAGCUGAGGUCACUACAUAGUAAACAGAGACUUCAAUCUCAUGAAAAUAUAAAUAAUAUUGAAGGUCUACUUUGGUCAACGUAUGAACAUGACUUACAGUGUUUUAAGCUUCUUCAGCUUCCCAAUAUACUUUGGAAUUUCACCAUUUAAAUUGCAUUUUCUCAGUAUCCUGCAUUGGAAGUUGAAUAAAAUAAGGUUGCUAGCAAAACUUAUACCAAGUAGACAACACAAAUGUUGUAUUGUUUUUAAGUUUUAACUCACAGUGUCUUGAUAGAGUCCAAGUUAUUCAAUGGAGGGAAAGGAGAAGCUUUGCCUCCUAAGUCGCUAAUUCUCCUGUCAAUCAUAAUCCACCAAAAUAAAAGCUAUGAUGAUAAAUGUUUCACGAGGAAACCGAAGUUGGUUUUGUCAAUGGCUUACAGGUCGGUCAGGCUGGUUAAGGCUGACCCUCCCAACCCGACGUCGUCUUCUCCAUCGUCGGCUCCCCCUCCGACGUCCGCCGCGUCCUCCUCGAUCCAACCUCCGGCGCCUUAUCCGGCCUAUCUCCCGGCGGCGUCCUCGUCGACAUGACCACCUCCGAGCCUUCUCUAGCCGAGGAGAUCUCCAAAUCAGCUUCCUCCGCGGGCUGCUUCUCAGUCGACGCUCCCGUCUCCGGCGGAGACCUCGGCGCUAAAAACGGGAAGCUCUCGAUCUUCGCCGGGGGAGACGAAGCAACGGUGAAGCGUCUGGAUCCAUUGUUUCGUUUAAUGGGGAAAGUCAACUUCAUGGGAGGGAGCGGGAAGGGGCAGUUCGCUAAGCUAGCGAAUCAGAUCACGAUCGCUUCGACGAUGGUGGGGCUCGUCGAAGGGAUCGUGUACGCUCACAAGGCCGGGCUCGAUGUGAGGAAGUUUCUAGAAGCGAUUUCGACCGGAGCCGCGGGUUCGAAGUCGAUAGAUUUGUAUGGGGAGAGGAUUCUCAAGAGGGAUUUCGAUCCGGGGUUCUAUGUGGAUCAUUUCGUUAAGGAUUUGGGGAUUUGUUUGAACGAGUGUCAGAGGAUGGGGUUGGCUUUGCCUGGGCUGGCUCUUGCGCAGCAGCUUUACUUGUCUCUCAAGGCACAUGGUGAAGGUGGUCUUGGAACUCAAGCUCUCAUCUUGGCUCUUGAGCGACUUAAUAAUGUCUCUGUUCAACCAAGUGUCUGAUUAUGUUUUUAUGUUGAUUUGGAGAAAAAAGAUUUGAACUUUUGUUGUGUAUCGUUGCUUAAACAUGAACUUUUGCUGGAAUGUGUAUUGUUUAGAUAUAUAGAAGUGUAUUGUUGGUUAGUUGCAAAUGCAAUUUAACACCGGAAAACGUAGAAACCUGAGGUAGAAUGGAUGUCAAACUGUUUUUAUUCGAAUUUGAGGUGAUUUAGAAAUUUAUAGGUUAAGUUUUGAGUCUGACUCGUUACAAACCAAGAUACGUUCUCAUGUUUGUGCAAGUUGAAUUACCGAUAAUAAGAAAACUUUGGGGCUUGGACGCAGUUAUGAGAGUCUCAACUCUUGAGUUGCUAUUUCGUUUAUGAUCCAUCACCCUAAAAGCUUGACAAAUUUCUUAGUUGAUGUAAAAUUGGACUAGAUGUGUGAUGUAGAAUUUCUUUUUGUUUCUAGUGAGCUUUAGCCAUUUAGGAGAGUGGUUGACUUGAGACUGAUAACUGGUAGUGCUGAUUUGUGAAAUGUGAAAUGUGAAAUCUGGAAAACAAUUGUAUAAUGUGUAUUAGGCCUGGGCAUAUAGUCCGAACAGAAACAAAACCUUUGUCCGACAAAAGCGGUGCGGGGUCAAGUUUGGAUCCUUCGGAAAAACGAAUGUACUCAGAUUUUUGGUAUAUUGGAUUAUCGGGUUCGAGUAUUAUCGAAGAGUAGUAUAUCACACACCGACUUAGAGAACAUCCUUUUAGCAGAGUAGUUAAGAGGAAUCUAUACAAUGUAUGUUGCGGCGAAUCUAGAGUAUUUAUUUCCUGGGUGCACUAUUGAUAAUAAAAGCUAAAAAUGUACAAAUAAGUUUUGAACCUGGGUUAUUAUGGGUGCACAAACUAACUUUUACCAUCUAAUCCACAAAAAUCUAUAUGUUUUUACCCAUAAAAAUUUGAGUCUUAAAAUAUCUAUGGGUGCAUGUGCCACCACACCACAUAAGGUGGCUUCGCCAGUCUAUAGAGACACUGCCCACUGCAUUUGCACUCGAGAAGAAAUGAAGACGAUACACUUGCUUAGAUAUGUUGAGUUGUCAUUGUUGAUAAGUUUUUUUUUUGUUAAUAUGCCUCUAUUGUUUUAAGUGUCAUUAAUUUAUGAAGGUAACAUGUUUCGUCUAGAAUAUGAGCGAAGCUGUAUACAUUAAUGAAUUUAGUGAACGGAGUUCUAAUUUCUAAUUAAUUAUAUAUGCAAAGACAAUGUUCAAAAGAGAAACUGUUUUGGAUCAUACACUUAAAAUUGUACAAACUUUCACGAGAUGCAACAUCUACAUUAUCCAAGUUGGUGAUCAAAGACUUGUUCGUUCCUUCUUUAACUCUUUCGCUAAAACUAAUAUUUGCAGCUCUUCGUCCAUCGUCUGGAACUUGUGCACUAAAUUUUUAAAAUCCCAACAUUAUUAAUUUAUAGAAGUAUAUCUUAUUAAAUCUAAAUAAAAAGCAUAUAUACUUUGAUAUUAUGAUUUAUUUUAUUCCAUUAACAGCACCAAGAUGAUAAUGUAGAAAUCUCAAAUCACCGGAAAUCUUAUAUAUAAUUUACCAAUGAAGAUUGAUUUGUAUAAAAUCCAAAUUACUGAAUCCACCUGGAAAACUUUAAGGUCAAAACAUUUUUACAGUUUGGAGAUAUAAUGUCUUGAUUAUAUAUACACUUAAAAAGUAUAAAUAAAAACUUCACCACUCCUAUAAAUCUCUCACUUAGAAAUUGGAACAUAAUAAGAGGUUAAUUAAUCCAAAAGUCCAGUCUUCUCCUCAGCAUCAAGUUGUGAAUUGGCAGAGGCAGUUUUAGGCCCGCUUGUAGUAGAGAAGCUAAGCGUUCGGCUAAACUCGUUCUGCCAAAAAUGGUUCCUCAAUGCUUUAAGCUUCGGGUUAACCGUUGAGAAGCUAGGAUCCGACAGCAACUCUUGCAUCGCUGUCUUUCCCUCUAACAGACUCACCACUUGAGACAUCGUAGGCCUUAGCGUCGGUGACGCGUUGGUGCACAUCAAAGCCACGUUCAACAUCAGCAUGGCUUCUUCUUCUGAGUAAUCAGAGGCUAACGUCGGAUCAACCAGCUCUAGUAAACAUCCCUUCUCUUGCAAAACGUAAGCCUGCAUGUAUUUGAAUGCGACAACGUUACAUACUUUGGUUUAUGAUAUUCUUUUGAGUGAAAAAUAAAAAAAAAUGAGAAUGUUUUACCCAAUCAAGAAGGUAAACGAACUCCUCGCUUGGCCUAAAGUUUGUGUUACUCUUCCCACUUACGAUCUCGAGUGCAACGACGCCAAAGCUAUAAACAUCUGCUUUCUCAGUCAAGUAACCACGCAUGGCGUAUUCUGGAGCCAUAUAACCUCUGCAAUACAAAUACAAAAUAUCAAAAAAAAAAAAAGUAUCCUUAAAAGAGUAUUUACGAGUAAAAAGAGAGAGACUUACACAGUUCCUGCAAUACGAGUGCUGAUGUGAGUGUUUCCAUCAUCGUUCAGCUUCGCCAAACCAAAGUCGGAGAUCUUGGCGUUGAGAUCCUUAUCGAGUAACACGUUGCUCGCCUUUAUAUCUCUGUGUACAAUUUUUAUCCUAGACUCUUCGUGGAGAAAUGUAAGUCCUUUAGCUAUCCCCAAACAAAUCUUCUUCCUCGUUGACCAGUCUAGUUUCAGCCUAGCACUCACAUCCUUUCCUACAAAAGCUCACAGAGAUUUAGAGCAUGCGGCAUGGUUCAGUAGCAAACUCAGGAUAAAAAAAAAUAUAUAUAUUAAAACGUACCAAAGAGAGCACGAGAUAGACAGUUGUUCUCCAAAUACUCAUACACCAAUAUCAACUGGUUUCCUUCAACACAGCAACCAUAUAGCUUCACAAGAUUUGGAUGUUGUAGAGCUGAGAUCAUUCCUAUCUCAUUUACAAACUCGCGGUUUCCCUGCCUUGAUUUUGCAGACAAUUGUUUUACUGCAAUCAACUUUCCUUCUGACAAUACACCCUGCACCAAGAAAUGGGACCGGACCACCUUCUAGUUUUACUGUGAAACUUUUCAUAAAAAAAGUUGAAGAACACAAGUGAAUUUUUACCUUGUACACAGAGCCAAAUCCACCUUCACCAAUCUUCAAUGUUGCAUCGAAAUUAUCAGUGGCUGCUUUUAUCUGUCGCAGAGUGAAACUUCCGGUUUGAAGAUCUAAAUUCCUUAGCUCUGUUCAGUCAUAGACCAAUCAAUAUAUAAGUACUCUUCAGACAUGUGAAUAGAUUCUAUAAGAUUCAUAAGAAAACCAAAGCUUAUAUACCUUUGUCAAUAGCAUUUUUGUCAAGUCUUUUCUUCAAGAAUAUACCAAAUAUGAGCAAUAAAAGAAGUGCUGCUGCAACAGGUAUCCCUGCUUUUAGUAUGAUCUCUUUCUUGUCAUGAUACACAGGAGGUUUGAAAUCUGAAACAAGCAACUAUGAGAUUCCAUGAUCCAUUUUUAAAAUGCAAGUAAGAAAAAAAAACUUACUUGGUUCCACUGAUAUAGCUGAUAUCAUAGGACCAUAAACUCCUCUAAUAGGAAUGCCUGUUGUCCCUUUCCCCGCCCACCUCAAGCCAAUCUUCACAUUGUGGUCCGUUACAUUUACCGGAAAGGAUUUUAUGACUGGCUUACCUGAUCCACUAGCUGCUUCUUGAAUGUUGAAGUUCUUAAUGACCAACUUAUCCUGUGUUCAGAGAAAUGAGUAAGAACACUAUAUGUCAUGGUUUACAUUUUUUUCUACAGAGUUCCACAGACAUACCUGAAGAUAAAUAUCGAACAAACGUUUUCCGAGGCUGUAAAGAGUCUUGUCAUCGGUGAAGAUGAUCUCAGCGAAGUGAAGGUGUACAGUGUAGUUACCAUUUCCAAGGCAGAGUCCAUAGUAAGUUAGCGAUGACGGAGAGACUCUAGCUGUCCUGUAAAGUCCAAAGCUGGGAGAGGAAGCAUUAACUGUCAAUCUGGAUGUGUUCUGUACAAUGUAAUCAUCAGCA
rnacentral:lncRNA from 1 species